CGACACACCUCCCGAAAAGUCUAACGUCCCUUCGCAUCUUGGAAUGUGAUAAAAUUAGUGGGAUGUGGUGCUCCCUACCGCUUGUUAAUUAUUUUGAAGUGAUUUCGAGCAGUGGGAUUUUGUGGCCAUUACCGAACCUCCCAAGCCUCAAGACGUUUCAGAUCUCUCAUUUAAAAAACACAACAUGUCUCCCCUACAGAUGGAAACACUUGGAGUCACUAGAGACUCUUAUUAUCAGCAAUUGCUCUAAAUUGAGGUCUCUUCCUGAUGAUUUGGGACAGCUCAAGUCGCUUAGGAGUCUCAAUAUCUGCAGCUGCCCCAAGUUGCGGUCAUUGCCUAAAGGGUUGUGGGGCCUUACCUCUCUCCAAGAUUUAAGCAUCUUUGCCAAUCCAAUGCUGGCGAAUAAAUACCUUAGGAAGUAUCGGAGUAAAGCAUCACACAUCCCAAACAUUUGGAUUGACGGUAAAAGAAUAUUCAAAUGAAGUGCUGAAGAUGAGAUGAUCCAUCAAGUGGACAAGCUCCAACUAGGAAGGCCAACGUUCGCUUUAUGGAGCUGCUUGGAGAGGAUGAAAUGGCAUUCGAUAGCCUCUACUGUGUGGCAUUUCAGAUGAUGGAUGCUCAGCGGCUUGCGAAGCGUGCUUCUUAUAUGGAAUUCAAUGAGGUUAUGAAAUUGACACGGACGCAGCUGGGGCGUGAGCUAGCAUUGGAAGACGUCUCCAGCAUUAAGGAUUUACUGGCUUACAAUCUUUUGAACCAAUAG